AUACCAUGAUGAGGGCAAGCUUCCGUCAACUCAUUUAAUCUUUCCCAUGCUUCAACAAUUGACUCCUCAUCCUUUUGACUGGAAUUCUGGAUGAGGUGCCU
rfam:Lupinus angustifolius cultivar Tanjil chromosome LG01, whole genome shotgun sequence.